GAGGCUUUCCUUCACCGUGUGCUGUGUUAUGCGGUGUGAGCACCACUGAUAAAAUCACGGGAACAAGACAGCAGCGUAGACUCUCUUUGAAGGGUCUCUUUGGCCAUCUCUCCUGAUUGUGUUUCAGGUCCAAAUUUACUUCCUGCCCCGCCUUGCCUGGUGGAGCUGUGUGUCCGACGGCAGUGAGGCUUUCCUUCACCGUGUGCUGUGUUAUGCGGUGUGAGCACCACUGAUAAAAUCACGGGUAUUGGAGUGAGUGUGUGUGUGCGUGUGUGCACUUAGUGUGAUUCUCCUCUUUUGCUCCCUCUCUUAGCCUAUCUGAUGCCAAUAGGCUACAGCUCUGAAACAAUUGUGAAUCCUUAUUGUGGAUUGUGAUUUCCAGCUUUAGUAAUUUGCUGGGUGACUAUUAUUCCUGCAUUUUAACUUUUGUACAAAUAAACAAACUCUAUUUUGCUA